rnacentral:misc_RNA from 1 species
UCCGGCUUGUCACCGGCAGUUCCACUAGAGUGCCCACCCAAACGUGCUGGCAACUAGUGGCGAGGGUUGCGCUCGUUGCGGGACUUAACCCAACAUCUCACGAUACGAGCUGACGACAGCCAUGCAGCACCUGUGCAUCACGUCCCUUGCGGGAAAAGUGUGUCUCCACACCGGUCGUGACCAUGUCAAGCCCUGGUAAGGUUCUUCGCGUUGCGUCGAAUUAAGCCACAUGCUCCGCCGCUUGUGCGGGCCCCCGUCAAUUCCUUUGAGUUUCGGUCUUGCGACCGUACUCCCCAGGCGGAGUGUUUCACGCGUUAGCUGGGCCCCUGAUCCACGUAGACCAAGGGCGAACACUCAUCGUUUACGGCAUGGACUAC